AUGGUUUUCCAGGGGAGCUGAGGGGAUAAGCUCGGCUGAGAGGAGACCUAAGAUCCCGGUCUCGACCCUUUGAACCUGACCCGGGUAAUGCCGGCGGAGGGAGUGAAAGGUAUAAAAAAU
rnacentral:ncRNA from 2 species